CGCCUUGUUAACAAAAACAUGUCCUUUUGAAUAUAUUUAAGGUCUAACCUGCCCAAUGAGGGAUUAAAUGGCCGCAGUAUUUUGACUGUGCAAAGGUAGCAUAAUUAUUAGUUUUUUAAUUGAAAGCUUGUAUGAAGGGUUGGACGAGAUAAAACCUGUCUUUAUUUAAGUUAUAAUAGAAUUUAACUUUUAAGUCAAAAGGCUUAAAUUUAUAUAAAAGACGAGAAGACCCUAUAGAUCUUUAUUUAAUUAAUGUUUUAAUAAUUUAAGAUUAUUUUAAUUUAAAGUUUUAAUUAAAUUUUAUUGGGGUAAUAUAAAGAUUAAAAUAAUUCUUUUUUUUUAAUACAUUGAUUUAUGAAUAUAUGAUCCAAUAUUAUUGAUUAUAAGAUUAAGUUACCUUAGGGAUAACAGCGUAAUUUUUUUGGAGAGCUCAUAUCGAUAAAAAAGUUUGCGA
rnacentral:rRNA from 1 species